rnacentral:sRNA from 1 species
UAUGGGGGGAAAAAGAUUUACAAGGGAUUUUAAAAGGGUUUUAAAAUA